ACCUAAAAGCAAGCCGUCACACCCAGCAAGCCGUCGCACUCAUCACUGCCCAUCGCCAAGACCGUCACACCACACAGCUUGCCGCCAUGUUCAUCUAACCCUCACACCCAGCCCUUCAUCUAACCCUCGCACCCAUCCCUCUCUCUGUCGCACCCAACCCUGCACUAUCAACGAUUUCUCGCACCCAGCUGUUUGUCGACGGUCUCUCGUACCCAACCCUCGCACCAUUGACGCAACCCUCGUUAGAUUCGGAACCCUCCAUCGGUGCUGCUCCGUCCACGCACCAUCAGUGGUCUCUGUCUCGGCGUGCCCUCCUACUCCCUCAGUGGUCUCUGUCUCGCAAACCCUCGUUGGAUUUGGAACCUCAAUCGUUGCUCACUCUAUUUCGCAAACCCUCAAUCGCCGCUCCUCCCUCCGUGGUUUAGCACCCGUCGCGUUGCUGAAUCUCGUUUGGUAGAGAAUACCUCUAGAUUUUUUGCAAGGUGACAAAUUUAGAGCCGCAGCAUAUAAUUACAUUAGGCCUCUCCUAACUAAGGGAGCUCCAUCUCUUUUUUCUGAUCUUUCAUCUUUGUAUAAUCACCCUGGGAAGGUCAGAUUUAUCCCUUACAAGAAUCAUUUGAGUCUGCUAAGGCAGUUUCAGUGGGUGCAUCAAAAGGUGUUCAAAGGUUGGGAAAUCAACUGCUAAUGGUGUUAGAAAACACGAAAAUAAAGCUGCAUCUUCGGUAUGUUUGAGUUUGUGUUGGUUGAUUGCUUUUAAGAUUUGUUUGACUUCCUAACUACUUGAUUCAUCAUCUUACAAAGUACAAGUCUAUUUUUUCCCUACUCUAGGAGUUUGUUUUAAACAUGUCAUAAAUGUAGAAUCAUGUAAUAUUUGCUAAGGUGAAACUUUGAGCACUUUUGACAUGACUACUUUGAGCAUUGACUUCUCAACUAUUUUGUAGAACUCUAUUCUGUUUGAAACAAACAAUUUAUUAUUUUCCUUCUUGUUCUAAUUGCUAGGAUUGUCGUAUUAGGUGAUCAGUAAGAUGCUGGAACCAGUUCAAUUUUGUGUUGGCACUUCGUCUCUAGUAGUACUAGGGCCAGGUGCACUGAUUUUAGACAUCUUAGUUAGUAGUUGAGCUAAUUUUUGUAUGUGAAGUGUCUAACAUCUUACUUAAAUCAAUGGAAUAUAUUUUUGUUAUAUUUUCUCUAAUGCAGCUGGAUAUAGAAGUCAGGGUGAAGUACAGGUCAAUAUUGCUCGGCCUAACAUACUUCAGAUGCAGCCCUUACCAUAUAACAUUAGAAAAGGAGAACUUCUGUUAUUUGAAAUCAUGAAUUCCUUCUUGUUCUUUGUCUUUUCCUUUAAAGAUGUAUUGUUUCAUCUUUAUUACAUUAUUCUAUCAAGAAAGCACGUUCUUUUUUAUGGGUUGAGUUUUCGCAAUGGAGUUUUGAUUCUUUUGUGUUCCUAGUAAAAAAAGAUCUUAAAGUACUUGUUUCUUUCUAACUCCUUAAUUGUUUUGUGGCCAUUGUUAUUGAACAGAUUGCAAUCUGAACUGAUGGCGCUAAUGGCAGAAGUCAUAUUUUUGGGGCAGCUAUCACAUCCGAAUCUAGUCAAAUUAAUUGGAUACUGCUGUGAAGAUGAACAUAGGGUGCUAAUUUAUGAGUUUAUGGCCCGUGAAGUGUCGGAAACAAUUUGUUCUCCAAAAUAUUGCUUCCAUUGCCAUGGUCCAUAAGAAUGAAGAUUGCAUUUGGAGCUGCAAAGGGACUUGCAUUUCUUCACGAGGCAGAGAAACCUGUCAUCUAUCGUGAUUUCAAAACAUCAAAUUUUUUAUUGGACCUGGACUAUAAUGCAAAACUUUCUGACUUUGGCCUUGCUAAAGAUGGGCCAGUUGGAGAUGAAUCCAAUGUUUCGACUCGCAUAAUGGGAGACAUUCAAGGAUGUGUACCAUGCUUUAAAUGAAAUAAUAUUUUUUUCUCAUGUUUUUAGGAUUUUGUCCUAGUUUUUAGAGUGGAAGUUGAGGCUAUUGAUCAUGUGCGGCACAAGAACUUAGUCAGACUUCUAGGUUAUUGCAUUGAAGGCAUUCACAGGUUGUUAGUUUAUGAGUAUGUUAACAACAGCAAUUUAGAGCAAUGGCUUCAUGGAGCCAUGCGGCAGUAUGGUUUUCUCACUUGGGAUGCUCGGAUUAAAAUUCUUCUUGGAACAGCUAAAGCGUUGGCUUACUUGCACGAGGCAAUCGAACCAAAAGCAGUACAUCAAGAAAUUAAGUCAAGCAAUAUUUGAUGCAUGAGUUACACUGUCACAAAAUGGUUACAUUUUUGCAAAAUGUCAGAAAAUUCAAUGAUGCACAUACAUAUUUUCUUGGAAAAUUGUAAUGGAAACCUGUGUUUUAUGAACGACUAAUAUUCCCAUUCUAUUUACUUCUAUUGUAAAUCAAUAAAAAAUCAAUUCU